CUUGAAACACGGACCAAGGAGUACGCAGUCAUUGGGUGUUUAAAACCCAAAGGCGAAAUGAAAGUAAAGAGUAGAAAUUUGUAAAAAAAUCUUUUUUUUUUCAACCUCUCUUAAGGGAAGAUGAAAGUCUCACAUAACAUCUUGUGUGUAAAGAUUUUCCGCACUCCCAGGGCGCUUGUAUUUCGCUUUGCGAAUCGAUGCGCACCUAGAGCGUACACGAUGAUACCCGAAAGAUGGUGAACUAUGCCUGGCCAGGACGAAGCCAGGGGAAACCCUGGUGGAGGUCCGCAGCGAUUCUGACGUGCAAAUCGAUCGUCGGAGCUGGGUAUAGGGGCGAAAGACCAAUCGAACCAUCUAGUAGCUGGUUCCCUCUGAAGUUUCCCUCAGGAUA
rnacentral:rRNA from 1 species